UCUUGUAAGUCUCGCACGUUACGAGCAGCCAGCAACAACCACAACAAAGUCCUCUUCAUCACCUCACUACCGGAGUCGCUGGUUCCCGUGUGUCGAGUGUCUAUGGUUGCCGACUGAAGCCUGGGAACAAAACUACAGGGAGAGGUCAUGUGGUGAGGUGCUGUGCCCACUCUAUCCAAGGAACGGAAGACUUGACCCGGUUUGUAAGUAAUGUCCAUCAGAGGGACAAUAAAUCGCUCCACAGGACUUGCUGGAAAAUCAAGGAAAUCAAGAGAGAGUAGGUUCGUGCCUCCCGUCGGCCCCCGCACCUUGAAGCAGCAGCACGCCUCAGAGUUGUGUUUCUGGCAGUGACAGUGAGGCGGUGCAGUCCGCUGCCAUAUUCUCGAGACAAACGAGGCAAUAUCCGUCAUGGUGAUGGAGACCCGAGAGCUUGAGCCGCGAGUGACCCGCCGUCCUGAGUGCUCCGUCUUGGGUGAGGAUGAAAGGAAGAGCGCCUUGGCCCGUUUGAGGCUUUCAAGAUUCACCAGA